CAGUCGCCACGGGAAUACGGAGGGGGCUAGCGUUGUUCGGAAUUACUGGGCGUAAAGCGCACGUAGGCGGCUCGGUAAGUUAGAGGUGAAAACCCAGGGCUCAACCCUGGAAUUGCCUUUAAGACUGCCGAGCUAGUAGGUGAGAGAGGUGAGUGGAAUUCCGAGUGUAGAGGUGAAAUUCGUAGAUAUUCGGAAGAACACCAGUGGCGAAGGCGGCUCACUGGCUCAUUCUAGACGCUGAGGUGCGAAAGCGUGGGGAGCAAACAGGAUUAGAUACCCGGGUAGUCCCUGUCUCUUAUAA
rnacentral:rRNA from 1 species